rnacentral:rRNA from 1 species
UACGGAGGGUGCAAGCGUUGCUCGGAAUUAUUGGGCGUAAAGGGUAGGUAGGUGGUCUCAUUUGUCUGGGGUGAAAUCCUUGAGCUUAACUCAAGAAGUGCCCCAGAAACGGUGAGACUAGAGUCCUGGAGAGGGUCGUGGAAUUCCCGGUGUAGCGGUGAAAUGCGUAGAGAUCGGGAGGAACACCAGAGGCGAAAGCGGCGACCUGGACGGGAACUGACACUCAACUACGAAAGCGUGGGGAGCAAACAGG